AAUCAGUUGUGCUGGAUAUCCUACUAGACGUACAUUUUAUGAGUUUCUUCUUAGAUUUGGUGUUCUUGCUCCAGAAGUUUUAGCUGGAAGCUAUGAUGACAAAGUUGCAUGCCAGAUGAUUCUAGACAAAAAGGGACUUAAGGGUUAUCAGAUGGGAAAGACAAAGGUCUUUUUACGGGCUGGACAGAUGGCUGAGCUCGAUGCUAGAAGAGCUGAGGUACUUGGAAAUGCAGCAAAAAUUAUUCAAAGACAAAUCCGUACAUAUAUUAUGCGAAAAGAAUUUGUUUCUCUGCGUCAAGCUGCUAUUCAGUUGCAAUCAUGUUGGCGAGCUAUGCUGUCCUGCAAACUCUAUGAACAAUUGAGACGUGAAGCAGCUGCUCUGAAGAUUCAAAAGAAUUUCAGAUGUCAUGUUGCACACAUAACAUAUACAACGCUGCAUACUUCUGCAAUUAUGUUGCAAACAGGCAUGAGAGCCAUGAUUGCUCGGAACGACUUUAGAUACCGGAAACAAACUAAAGCUGCAAUUAAAAUACAGGCUCAUGCACGUGGCCAUGCCGCUUAUUCUUAUUACAGAAGUCUUCAGAGAGCUGCGAUCAUUACUCAGUGUGGUUGGAGGCGACGGGUGGCCAGGAAGGAGCUUCGAAAUCUCAAAAUGGCUGCAAGGGAAACAGGU
rnacentral:misc_RNA from 1 species